UUGUGUUGGCUAUCCAUCGCUAAAAAGCUCUUAACAAAUCGUGACCUAGUUGGCAGCAAAUCAUCCGCGACCCGUGCCCAUGAAUCUGACAUGACAUUAGCACUUGUUACCAACCAAAUACUCGGCAUCAUCGAUACUUUAAUCGCCGGUGACAAAAGGAUAAACAACCACCACUUCGACUACUACUUUAUUCUCCAAGUCCAAUACAAGCUUGCGAUUACGGGAAUCCCUUCACUCCGACGAGUAGGUAUUAGGAGAGCAACUGCUUCAUUUUAGUUCUUCGUAGAUCUGGUGAACAAGGCUCAAUCGCUCUGCUGUUCCUAAGAUUUCUACUCGUAAUUCAACUUUGACGUAAAAGGCCUUGCUAUGUUGAAUCAGAAGUGUCUGCCCUCUGCAUGUACUUGUUCAUAAUCAGAAGCCUUUGAUUGAUGAGCUUUGUGGCAUGAAGGUGUUGGAACAUUCGACGUAUCAACUAAACAAAACUUUAAAUUGUGCGCUAUAUUAAUGACUUUCCUGCUUAUGGAAUGUUAUCUGGAUGGCCGACUGUCGGAAAUUUAGCUUGUCCUUGCUGUAUGGAAGACACAAAAGCAUUCACUUUGAAACAUGGAGGUAAAAACACAUGGUUUGACUGUCACCAUCGAUUUUUGCCAAUGGAUCAUGAGUUCAGGAGAAGUACUAGUGCAUUUAUAAUGAAUUGAACUGAUUAUGAUGAGCCACCAAUAACCUAUUUCAUACUGUAAUGGAUAAUAAGAACGGGACAAAAGAUAACUUGAAGGCCAGGAUGGAUUUACAUGAAUACUGUAGGCGAAGAAAAUUAGAACUACCGCAAGAAAAUAAUAGGAUGGUGAAGCCUAAGGCCAGUUAUUCAUUCAAAAUGGAUGACAAACGAAAGAUCUGUGAUUGGGUUCGAAAUUUGAGAAUGCCCGAUGGGUAUGCUUCAAACUUAUUCAAUUAUGUUGACAUGAAAGAAGGAAAGCUGAUGUAUAUGAAAAGCCAUAAUUGUCAUAUUUUCAUGGAAUCAUUACUUCCUAUUGCAUUUAGCGCAUUGCCUGAGAGAAUAUGGAAACCCAUCACAGAAAUAAGCUUAUUUUUCAAAGACCUAUGUUCUAAUACAUUGAGGGAGGAAAAUCUAGUUUUGAUGGAAAGUAACAUCCAUUUAAUCAUAAACAAACUGGCAAAAAAAUUUCCAUGUGGUUUUUUCAAUGUAAUGGAACAUCUCUCAAUUCAUCUUGUAAGAGAGGCACAACUUGGAGGGCAUGUUCAAUGUA